rnacentral:lncRNA from 1 species
UUGCAUCAUGCACCUCCUAGUUUUCUUAAAACCCCACCCUACUUCUAUCUUCUUCGGAUCCUCUUCCCCUUCUUCCUCUUUGUCUUCUUCACCAACUCAACUCUUCUUCCAGGAAUGUCAUUCCUAUUUUGAACAGGCGUUCUGUAAGGGUAUAAACUCUUAUGGGAUGACGGAAGGAAAAAUAUUAUAGAACACCUUUUGAGUAAGUAAAAAUAGUGCUUCCAGACUAAUUCUUCUGAAAGAUACAAAAUGCACUUUCUGAAAGGUUAUUCUAGAUUAUAACUUUUGUUAUCAAAAUGGUUCUUCCAUAAGCUAAAUAAUACUUUCUAAAACAUCCUUUCCAGAAGAUACAAAAUACACUUCUAAAAAGGUUAUUCUGGAUUACAAUUGUUGCUUCCGGAAUGGCUUUCCGUAAACAUAAUAAUGAUUUCCAGAACCUUUUUCUUGAAAUAUUCAAAAUAAAUUUUCAGAAAAACUGCUCUGAAUUUAAAAAAGUUGCUUCCAAAAUGAUGUUUUUUUAAGCAAAAAUGCUUCCGGAAUGAAGGUAAUUCUGAAUGCAGCUUUUACGGAAAGGUAAUUUUGAAAGCAUUUAACUAUAUUUUUAAAAAUUUUAAAAUAUGACUUUUCUUAAUUUACUUCCUGUUAAUUUUUUUAAUCAUUAUAAUUAAUUUUAAAAUAUGUAAAUUUAAAGACUUAUUUAAUAGAUCUGAACUGAUAACACUGUCUGGUUUAAACGACUUGCUACCAUCCUAAUUCCCACUAUUAUUCUGGUUUGAACACGACACAUGCAAGUUUUGUUUUAAGCGCAACUGAUAUUGCAUAUAGAAUGAAUAAUUGUUACCUACUCAGUUUGAUUGUGGAGAAAAAUUUAGGGAGAGUAUCUUAUCCUUCAUUUUUACUGCCAACAAACAGAACCCAGAUUUAUUGAAAUUCCACCGUUUGAAAAUGAAAUCUAAACCAACCAUUACUUACUUCCCUACAACAUGUACACUCUAGAUGCAACAUUAUUUUCAUGUUUAACCACAGCCUUAAGCAAUUCUGGAGUUAGCAAAUUCCAGAAAUGUUCACACACUUCACACAUAUAUAUGUAAUUAACAUGCUAUGUAUAUAUCCAAAGAGAUGAACAUUGUUGAAAAUUUAAUGGAAGCCCCACUCGCAACCAUAGGCCAUUAUAUAUGUUAGAUUGUUACCCCUAUUGCUAUAUAUCUAUAUAUGCAUUUGACAUAAACCACUCCCAAACAAAUUGUUCACGAAAAAAACAUGAUUGAGAGGAGAGAAUCCAUUAAAAAUAAUCAAUCAGAUUCUUUGACGAAAAUUAAUUAUAUCAGUAAAAUUAGUGAUCAAGGUUUAAAUAUUGGUCACGGUUGCGUUGCGAUUUUGCAUUUGUUGGUAUCACAACAACUUAUGAAUAAAUGCAGCCGAUGCGAUCUCAAUUACGAUCGUGUUGCGGUGAUGAACUGUUAAAAAACCUUCAUAUUACGGUCUAAAUCACAGUUGUAUACUCGUGUAUCAUUUUUAAAAUCUUACCAGUGAUAGAUACUAUGUAUUAAUAAAAUGUUAAUUAAAAAAAUGACCAAUUUUCAUUUACACAACCUAGAUAAGUGAUGAUCACCAUCAACUAGUGGGUAAUGAUUUGACUGUUUUCUCCCUCAAAAUUUCAGCAUCCCACCUGGGUUGCUUCGAAACACUGAUCUGUUUAUGUCGUGUUGCUCAUGGAGCACAAGCAGGUUGCUAUGGACAUGCACCUGAAGAAGUCCUGGUCUACUGCAUAUGGACCCAUUUCAUGGUCAUAACAGUGCAUCGUGGAUACAAUUGCAACUUUACAAAUAGAUCAGAAACAAAGUUCCAUAGGAUGAGUCAUUGUAUGUAUAACUGUAAAGCAUGAUCAGUAAGGCAUUUUAUCACAUGCAAGCUUUUAAAUUGUAAUUAUGGCCAUGAUAUAUACCUACAUUUAUGGUACGGUCAUUGCUUUAAAUGGUGCUGGUUAGUGGCUAUGAUCAACUUUUGAAAUGUUAAAAUUAUCUUAUCCGGAUCGUAUUUUAAUUUAUUUUAAAAUUUAAUUAACUGGCAUGGUCGUGGAAAAAAGUUGUUUCUUCGGAUAUAUUAACAUUUUUAAAAUUAUCUUUCUUGGGUUGUGAUAUCACCUCAACCUAUAGUUUAAUUAGAUGAGUUUGUUAAAUCUUGAGAAAUUUGUACACACUAUUAGAUUA